rnacentral:lncRNA from 1 species
UCAAGCGUUUCACGUCGGAUUCACUAAAUAUGUCGUAAUACAUGAAGUCUUGUUUGAGAAUGCUCCAAGUACCUAGUUGUGGAAGAUAGAAUGGAAAUUACAACAAUAAAAUCUUAAUUCUAAUAGAAUACUAAUAAUGCUAAACAAACUUUAAUCAAAUUCAGAAAAACCUUAAAGGAAUUCCAAAGAAAUAAUAAGAAAUCUUAAAGAAAUAUUAAAAUGAUUACAAACAUAUCUCACAUACAACUCAAUUCAAUCUUAAUUUAAUCCCGGUUGAAAUCUUACUUCAUUCAAACUUUAGGCCAAAAAAUAACUAAAUUUUAAAUCCUAAACAAAUUCAAAUCAAAUCCUAAAUCCUAAAUCAAAUCUUGAUCAAACCCUAACCAAACCUUAAAUCUUAAUCAAAUCUUUAAUCCUAAAUCAAAUCCUAAUCAAAUUCUAAAUCUUAAUCCUUAAUCAAAUCUUAAUCAAACUCUAACCCUAAUUCUAAAUCCUAAAUCAAACCCUAACCAAAUCCUAACCCUAAAUCAAAUCCUAAUCUUAAAUCAAACCCUAACCAAACCUUAACCUUAAAUCAAAUCCUACUCAAACCCUAAAUCCUAAACCAAAUCCUAAUCUCAAAUCAAACCUUAACCAAAUCUUAAAUCUAAUCCUAAACCCUAAAUCAAAUCCUAAUCAAAUUCUUAUCCUAAAUCAAAUCCUAACUAAAUCCUAAAUCCUAAAUCAAAUCCUAAUACUAAAUUCAAAUCCUAAUCAAAUCCUAAUCAAACUCUAAUCCUAAAUCAAAUCCUAAACAAAUCCUAAUCCUAAUCUUAAAUCCUAAAUCAAACCCUAACCAAAUCUUAAUCCUAAAUCAAACCCUAAUCAAAUCCUAACCCUAAAUUAAAUCCUAACCAAAUCCUAAUAAUUUCUACAACAAAAUUAAUCCUCAAUAAUUAAUGAAUGAACCAUUGAUCUUAACUCAAAUUUUGAACACUUCUUAAAAUCUAAGUUGAAAACAAGCACAAAUUUUUUAAAAAGGAUCAAAAUUACCAAAUAGAUGAUAAUCUUAAAAACGUGCUCAGGUAUUGUCGGGUUCUC